rnacentral:lncRNA from 1 species
GAGGAAUAAGUUUUGGUCAAAGUGGGACAGGGGAAGGACUCGUGAUACCCUGGUCUGUUCUCAGUUUUGGUUCCCAAAUAUUUGGUGCAUGAAACUCACAUGACUCGCUUUCACAUAUCAGUGCAUCAAUCUAAAAAUAAUUUAUUUUUGACACAGUGGCACAUUUAAAGCUUUUAUUGUUUCAUUCCGCUGAUAAACAUAGCGCAGAUGAAGUGAAACUUGUGCACAUGUGAGCGUCACCUGCAGCUUUAGCGUGGUAGCAAAUCUGACUGCUCAUUGGCGUGUUAUUUCAAAUCAGAUAAUUAAAUUGGUUGACACUUAAAGAUUUAACCAUGUUUGAAACUUCCUUUUUUGUUUUUAUAAAUAUCAUUAUUUUCAACAUAAAAGCUUUAAGCUUUAAAGAUUGCUCAUAUUUGCAUUAUUUUGGAAGGGCUCUGGUUUUGUGGCGUCUUGUACAAAACAUACCAAAAUGUGUUUACAAAAGCAAUGCAUUUAAAAAUGCAUUUUGUACAUACAGUCUUCACCUUCAUCUGACUGUGCAAUGCAGAAAUAUCUACGAAUUCACGUAACCCGUCGCUUGUCUUCCAGCGCAUGCGCAAAUCUCUGAGAAAGCAUUUGUAUCCCGAUUAACGUUCUUCUAUAUAGUUCUUAAAACUUAUGUAAUCACAAAAUUAAUCUUGGAUAAUUACUUUAAGCUUUUGACAUUUCUAUUUUAUAUCAAUAAAAAGGUUAAAAACAAACGGCUUUAUAUCAUUAUACCAGAAGGCAUAUUUUAGCCUAUGGUGUGCUUCUAAAUAUUGUCGGUUGAGAACCACUGGUGUAGUUUUGUUGCACAUGACGUGCAUAGCGCAGUUUUUUUGAUCUCAGAGAAUGAUUCUGCUGCUCUCAGAACUCAGCUUCAGUCAGCUCAGCUUCCUGUCCUAUUCAGUGCGGCAGGGGCCAAGGAAGUGAAUAAGAAGAUGCUGCGUUUACUCUUUCUGUUUUUGAUUCUUCGAGGUGCAGCUGCAACAUCAGAAGACACAGAAGGAAAUUAUUCAGGAGAUUACAUCGUUGACGAUGAAGACGGUGAUGCUCCAGUGGAGACAAGGCGUAUUCAAUAUUCAGAUCCUGGAGAAAUUCCUAAAGUAGGUCCCGGAUCAGAUAGAUCCACAGGAGAUGAUGAAGCUAAUGAAGGUGGAACAUUGAUAAUCAUCAUAGCUGCCGUUAGCGUCAUAGUUCUGGCCAUUGGAGGCAUUGUAGCUAUUUUCCUCUUCAGACGCUACUUGCAAAGCCGAGAACAAGGGGUCUACUCUGUGCCAGCAGAGCAAGGACAGAAAGCUGCUGUCUAA